GACGACGCUCCAGUACUCCGGCAAACCGGCAUACACGCCACUACCCUGCUCACCACUGUACACUACAAGUAUAUCCACCUAGCGACACUGGUGAUGCACGUGCCCUAUUGCGCGUGAUACUUCAUUCUCAAAUUAACAACGUGUAUCGUGCGAUCGGGUAAAAUACGCAAACAAGAUCGACUUUCUAAAAUAUUUAAAUUUUUAGUGAAACAAUAAUAUGAUAUGUGGCGGUAAUUAGUGUUUAUUAUAUCGACUGGGUGGCUUUCGUGGUACCACGUCGACGUCAUGCUAUGGGAGUUCAUCUGGCCUCACAGGACUAACGUCUUGUCACAAUGGAGCUCGUUAGUUUCUGUCAGCACAGACGCGCCCAACUGAAAGGAAAUUUCCAGGGUGUAGUCCUACAACGAUAUGCCACCUAAAGCCCGCACCGGCGUGGUAGGCGUACUGCUCAGGAUAACCCGCCCUCUCCUGUGACUAGCCAGGGCUCUAGCGCACGGCACGGGCGGCGGAUUAGGCGUGGGGCGCGGCGCGUGGCGGCGGCGCG